rfam:Calypte anna contig34492, whole genome shotgun sequence.
UCACAGGUUUUUUUCAAAACCAUAAAGUGACCUAUUUUGACUUCC